rnacentral:rRNA from 1 species
AAUAUUGGACAAUGGGGGCAACCCUGAUCCAGCCAUGCCGCGUGUGUGAAGAAGGUCUUCGGAUUGUACAGCACUUUAAGUUGGGAGGAAGGGCUUUAGGUUAAUACCCUGAAGUUUUGACGUUACCAACAGAAUAAGCACCGGCUAGCUCUGUGCCAGCAGCCGCGGUAAUACAGCGGUUGCAAGCGUUAAUCGGAAUUACUGGGCGUAAAGAGCGCGUAGGUGGUUAAGGAAGAUGGGUGUGAAAUCCCCGGGCUUAACCUGGGAACUGCUUUCAUAACUGCUGAGCUAGAGUACGGUAGAGGGUAGUGGAAUAUCCUGUGUAGAGGUGAAAUGCGUAGAUAUAGGAAGGAACACCAGUGGCGAAGGCGACUACCUGGACUGAUACUGACACUGAGGUGCGAAAGCGUGGGAGCAAAC